rnacentral:ncRNA from 1 species
GAUCAUGGCUCAGAUUGAACGCUGGCGGCAGGCUUAACACAUGCAAGUCGAGCGGUAACAGGGGGAGCUUGCUCCCCGCUGACGAGCGGCGGACGGGUGAGUAAUGCAUAGGAAACUGCCCAGUAGUGGGGGAUAGCCCGGGGAAACCCGGAUUAAUACCGCAUACGCCCUUUGGGGGAAAGCAGGGGAUCUUCGGGCCUUGCGCUAUUGGAUGUGCCUAUGUGGGAUUAGCUAGUUGGUGGGGUAAGAGCCUACCAAGGCGACGAUCCGUAGCUGGUCUGAGAGGAUGAUCAGCCACAUCGGGACUGAGACACGGCCCGAACUCCUACGGGAGGCAGCAGU